rnacentral:tRNA from 2 species
GGAUAUUCUGUUCUUGGAAUGAGGAUAUAGAAAAUCGGAUUUUCUCUUUUCCCAAACAUUGCGCUCCUUCUGGACACUCAGAAUUCAGUCCGUGAGUGCCUUUACCAAUUCAAAUAGGUCCACAUCCCGGGGAGCCCGCUAGCCAGGGACGCCCAGCACUGAGCAGGUGGAGAUCGUAGCGCGGAGUAGAUGUGGCAGCGGAAGAACGGUGUUUCUUUAUGGGUCCGGCUGGAGAACACCGUAUAAGUUGCAUCCUCGUUAGUAUAGUGUACUCCCCACCCACCCAUCUCCCAGAGGGCAGGGAAGCAGAGAGAGCCGAACCUGAAUGCCGACCUGCUGAUUUCUUGGUGUCUUGAAGCUGAGCAGGUGUCACGGGUGAGGUGGCUAUGCUUCGAGUCUGGAUUUGAGUCACUUACUGCCGCGAGGAAAGCCACAAUCUGGCCCAUAGGGCAUCCCCACGCCGUGGCGUGGUCAGCAUCCUUGCUGUGCCUUGGGCUGCUCCGGGAGCUGCACCCAAGGGGAGACCUUACUCUUUUGCUCAGAGAAGAGAUCCUGAGAAAGCGGAACUCUGAGAAAGCUUCGAGUACUAUCAAAGGGAAGCCAGACGGUAUGGGAACUUCCUCGCACUUCUCCGACUGGAAAAAUCCAAGUCCAAGAAUUACUUGACUCCAUUUCUUUCGUUUCAUAAACUACCUCUGUUAAACGUUUGUUGACGUCUGUUGGUUACUUUUUGCGGGUUAUUUUUUGCUGCUUAUUAAUUUCUGUUCUCAGAACCCUCGCGACUAAAUCAUGAGCCGAGGAGGAAACGGACUCUUUAAGACAGAAUUAAAUGAGGUGGAACUUUGCCUUUUUGUAUUUUGUAAGAAAAGAUGAGAUAUUUAACCGUUUAGAACAUGUCACUAAUUAAGGAACGCUAAGGAACAGUAUACCUUUAAGGGCUGAGCUGAAAAGCUGCUGGCAGAGCUAGUCCUCGUUAGUAUAGUGGUGAGUAUCCCCGCCUGUCACGCGGGAGACCGGGGUUCGAUUCCCCGACGGGGAGGCAACUUAUUUUCUAUCGCCUAUAUCUUAUUUUCAUUUCUCUUUCAAGUGAAUUCUUCAACUUUCAUAAAAAUUCCUUACUCUUCUCUAAAAAAAUAAUCCUGGCAAGCAAGCGAGAUUUGGUCAGGCAGUUGUCUUAUUAACUGCUUGGUCACAGUCACCCACGAGCGCCCUCACUUCUUCCCUUGGUUACAAGAAAAAGUUCUCACAUUGAAGCGGAAUUUUCCAUUUCCGGCAUGCCACAACGCGGCUAUCAACUGUUUGGUUUAUAUAAUGGUUUCCCCAAAUAAAACUGUUUCCCUCUAAAACCA